AACGUAGGACAUGGAGGGAGGUUCCUUGUAGUCUUCCUUGCGCUGUUGCGAACAUGAAGGAGCUUCGGUGGAUUUCUUGCUUUGGAUAUCCAGGAACUUCAUUGCUAAGAAAUUUCAACCAACUAAGCUUUCUUAUCUACGAUUGGAUUCAUUCUUUCUAGAGCAACUUUGGGAGGGUGAAAAGAAUUACCAGAUCUCCCAUCAAGCAUAGCUGUUCUCCGAGCAUAUGGGUGCGACAAGCUUAAAAUUGUAGAUCUUCCAAUAAAUCUUAAAUGGUUGUGGAGAAUCUCAUUUUCAAUGAAGAGUAUAUCGGGUGAUGUUCAUAGAAAAGUACAAUCGAUGCUUCAGGGAAAAGAUAACUCCAUCAGUCUCUUUUUUGAUGCCGAAAACAUUCCAACAAGAGACUUUGCAAGGAGAAGAUUAAUGUUAGAGCUUCCAAGGAAUUGGUACAAUGAAUUCAGUGGAUUCUUAAUAUGCAUUAAAG